CACACACUCACAGAGAGCUAUGUCCCCACAAGACAGGUGUAUACACACACACACACUCACUCACAGAGAGCUAUGUCCCCACAAGACAGGUGUAUACACACACACACACUCACUCACAGAGAGCUAUGUCCCCACAAGACAGGUGUAUACACACACACACACUCACUCACAGAGAGCUAUGUCCCCACAAGACAGGUGUAUACACACACACUCACUCACAGAGAGCAAUGUCCCCACAAGACGGGUGUAUACACACACACACACACACACACACAUACACACACUCACUCACAGAGAGCAAUGUCCCCACAAGACAGGUGUAUACACACACAUACAGAAAAUACAACAGCUAUGCUCCAAAUCUUUGUGUUAUUAUUAUUAGGACAGGAUACAUUAAUAGGGAAUGGAGUUUCAAAUGGACUGGGAACUUGGUGGUGGUGAUGAUAGGACGUUAAGCAACGCAAGCCAUCUUAAUAAAGGGGUUAGUAAAGAAAUUAAUAUGCAAAUAAUUAUGCAAAUGACUGCACUGUGUGAACUGAUGAUCAUUAAUUAUAUAGCCAUUCCUUAAUCAUAUAGUCAAAAUGAUAAUAAAAAGGACCACUGGGUGUGUUUUUUUAAACAAAGAGUAUUUAUUUUAUAUGGAAACGAAAGAAAAGGCUACAUUUUCCAAAAUAUUAAUGAAGAAUUAAAUAUUAAAAUGGUAAUACUGAGUAAAAAUAACCAAUAAAGAAUAGAGGAAAAUUAUGCAUUGUGUCAUUCUGUGUUAAAAUAAUUGUUAUAUUUUAGAGAUCUUUCUAAAUAAAACCUCUAUGGCAUUUGAACCUAGCUACAGUAUGGGUUGUAUGGUAACACCUGAAAUCACGUUAUUAUAAAUUAUACUGUUGAUAUCGGAUACCUUCAAAGCUUUGACUGAUUUAGUGUUUGGCAAGGACUUCAACCGUUUUGCUUUGCAUGGUUGGGAAUGUGUACAUAUGAACCUGUUGAACACAUGCAGGUACGUGUGUAAAGAAGCUCGCCAAGAUGAAGUCAGAACUAGACAUAUUAGCACAAUUUCUAGUCUUUGAAUGCCAGCAACAAAAUUAAAAUCAAAUGAGUUCACAAUUCCACAGCUGUAAAUGGAUAUCAGCACUUUUUGAUGAUAUUAUGCCCAAAAACCAAAAAAAAAAUCUUUAAAAUAUGACGUAUGGAUUAGAUUGCAUGGUGUAAAAAAAACAAACAAACAAAAAAAAAAAA